AGUGAACGCUGGCGGUAGGCCUAACACAUGCAAGUCGAACGGCAGCACAGUAAGAGCUUGCUCUUACGGGUGGCGAGUGGCGGACGGGUGAGGAAUACAUCGGAAUCUACUUUUUCGUGGGGGAUAACGUAGGGAAACUUACGCUAAUACCGCAUACGACCUACGGGUGAAAGCAGUGGAUCUUCGGACCUUUCGCGAUUGAAUGAGCCGAUGUCGGAUUAGCUAGUUGGCGGGGUAAAGGCCCACCAAGGCAACGAUCCGUAGCUGGUCUGAGAGGAUGAUCAGCCACACUGGAACUGAGACACGGUCCAGACUCCUACGGGAGGCAGCAGUGGGGAAUAUUGGACAAUGGGCGCAAGCCUGAUCCAGCCAUACCGCGUGGGUGAAGAAGGCCUUCGGGUUGUAAAGCCCUUUUGUUGGGAAAGAAAAGCAGCAGGUUAAUACCCCGCUGUUCUGACGGUACCCAAAGAAAAAGCACCGGCUAACUUCGUG
rnacentral:rRNA from 1 species